GGUGGCUCAGCAGUAGAGUGCUUGUCUUGCAUGCAUGAGGUCUGGGUUCGAUUCCUCAGCACCA
rnacentral:tRNA from 1 species